AAUAGAAUAUCCUAUUACGGGUGUAUUUCAUUCCGGACUUAAGCAAAGAUUUUUAGAGAUUUCUAUUCUAUUGCCUUUUCACCGUUUAGCUAUUCCUUGCUUGAAGAACCCUAUUCUACCCUUACCAAAAUUUCACCUCAAAAACAUUCUCAAUUGGCAGCCAUUUCACAUACCCUUCUACUCCGGUAUUCCUCCCCUUCAUCCAAGGUUAGCUUUUUGAAAGAAUUUUAGAAAUUCCAGCAACAUGGCUUAAAGGAGGAGCCACUGGUGAGGUUAUGUUUUCUCCGCAGCGAUUGAGAUCUAAACAUUUGAGAAAGAUGGUUUUAGCAAAAAAAUGAACUUGAACGUUGCACCUAAAAUUUGAUCCAGAAGAAGGAAGAACAUUGACUGGAUGAAAAUCAAGUAAACCUUGGCUUGAUGUCUGUUAAUAAAAACAGCAAAAGUGAGAUAUGAUUGCUUAGAAAGGAAAAUUUUUCCUGUUUUUUUGUUGUUAUGUUCCAGUAGUCUUGAAUGCUUUAGUUAUUUUAUAGGUGCUAAUGGUACAUUCCAGUCUUUUAAGAUUAAUUCAAUAAGAUAAAUAAAACAAAACCUGGGUUUUAAGUAAGA